GACGCCGAGGACUAACGACGGAGGAAUCGCCGCCGUCGCCACCAUCAACCUGCCGCCGAUUGAUGGAACCACCCCCGCCGCCAACAUCCGUGGCUCCAACAACCCGGCGGACAGCCGAAUCUCCAGCAGCACCGUUCAGUGCGAGUGGAGGAGGUCAUGGAAAUGGAGAUGGAGGUGGCUGCUGAUGAUAAUGACAUGCCUGAUGUUCAUCUGUAGCAAGCUAGAUGUCUAAAGCUUCAGAUGGCCAAAUUUGCACUAUUUUGUUUCUUUGUCAAAUGCGUCAAACUUUGAUAUGUCAUAUGUGCAUGUGUGUGUAGCAGCAGCAGCAGCACUGCACUAGCACUACUAUGUCACUUUUGAACCCUGUCGUGUGUUUUGUUUAAUGGCUAAGGUUGAACUUGACCUGCUGUAGUGCUAUAAUAUUCUAUUACUUAUGUUGAUGUGUCACCAUGUUGAGGUGAUAAACUGAUAAUAUUUUCCGUAUGAUCUUGCCUUAUUGAA